rnacentral:rRNA from 1 species
UACGGGGGGGGCAAGCGUUGUUCGGAAUUACUGGGCGUAAAGGGCUCGUAGGUGGCCAACUAAGUCAGACAUGAAAUCCCUCGGCUUAACCGGGGAACUGCGUCUGAUACUGGAUGGCUGGAGUAUGGGAGAGGGAUGCGGAAUUCCAGGUGUAGCGGUGAAAUGCGUAGAUAUCUGGAGGAACACCGGUGGCGAAGGCGGCAUCCUGGACCAUUACUGACGCUGAGGAGCGAAAGCCAGGGGAGCAAACGGG